rnacentral:rRNA from 1 species
ACGGGGGGUGCAAGCGUUGUUAGGAAUCAUUGGGCGUGAAGAGCGUGUAGGCGGCUUGAUAAGUCAGAUGUGAAAGCCCUGGGCUUAACGCAGGAAGUGAAUUUGAUAAUGUCUUGCUUGAGUAAGGGAGAGGAAAGUGGAAUUCCUGGUGGAGAGUUGAAAAUCGUAGAUGUCAGGAGGAGCACAGGUGGCGAAGGCGACUUACUGGUGCUAUACUGACGCUGAGACGCGGUAGGUUGGGUGGCAAACAU